AGUGAACGCUGGCGGUAGGCCUAACACAUGCAAGUCGAACGGCAGCACAGUAAGAGCUUGCUCUUACGGGUGGCGAGUGGCGUACGGGUGAGGAAUACAUCGGCAUCUACUUUUUCGUGGGGGAUAACGUAGGGAAACUUACGCUAAUACCGCAUACGACCUACGGGUGAAAGCAGGGGAUCUUCGGACCUUGCGCGAUUGAAUGAGCCGAUGUCGGAUUAGCUAGUUGGCGGGGUAAAGGCCCACCAAGGCGACGAUCCGUAGCUGGUCUGAGAGGAUGAUCAGCCACACUGGAACUGAGACACGGUCCAGACUCCUACGGGAGGCAGCAGUGGGGAAUAUUGGACAAUGGGCGCAAGCCUGAUCCAGCCAUACCGCGUGGGUGAAGAAGGCCUUCGGGUUGUAAAGCCCUUUUGUUGGGAAAGAAAAGCAGCAGGUUAAUACCCCGCUGUUCUGACGGUACCCAAAGAAUAAGCACCGGCUAACUUCGUG
rnacentral:rRNA from 1 species